UGUAGCUCCAAAGCAGCAGGAGCAGCAGUAGACAAGCUGGAAAUGAGUGAGCAUGGCCAUGUUCAAUGCCAAUGCGGAGGGCGGGAAGAAGGUUUGACCCCCGAAGUCUAAUUUGCUGACCUCUGCAGAGGGAAUUCGAAGACUGGGAAGGUUCCCUACAGGGCACUUGCGUGAACUUCAGUUUAUGUCUGUACAUCCUUUAAUUAUCUGUGACGUGAUGGUGAUGAUGCUGGUGCUUAUCUUCUAGAGAUGCUGGGAGGAUUAGAUGAGCUGAUAAUAGGAGCACCUAAAUGGUACCAUAUCUGGCCAAGAAAUGGACCUCUCAGGCGAUCAUCUGGAUGUCUUAUCCUCACGCGCGCUCUCGCCUCACCCACCUGCAGGCUCAGACACGGACACCCUCCCGCUCCUGCGGCCUCGUCUAUACCCGCGCUGUGAGGGGAGCAGACCUGUGCUUAAGGCAGAAGAAACCAUGCGGUGCAAGAAAGUGGCCGCCCAGGAGGAGGCGAGGGUUCUGUUUCCAUAAGAGGCGUCCGCUGCUGGGAUCCCAGAACGACAGACAUCCGUGCAAGGGUAGAAGCUGGCCAGUGCAUUAACGGAUUCUCCCCAGCACCUGCCCACGAGGGCGCAAUCUGAUCUUCGCGUAGUGAAUGUGAGUCUUGGAUAACUAUCUUCUUCACAUGCCCUGAUUCUCUAGCAAAGCU
rnacentral:lncRNA from 1 species